rnacentral:rRNA from 1 species
AUGCAAGUCGAGCGAUACCUUUUUCUUGAUGCAAGUCUUCCGCAAGGAAGAAAUGCAAAAAGAUUUUGGAUAUAGCGGCAGACGGGUGAGUAACGCGUGAGUAAUUUACCUCUAAACCGGGAAUAGCUUCGCGAAAGCGGGGGUAAUACCCGAUGUGUCAUUCUCUCACAAGGGGGAAUGGGUAAAGGUGGCCCGCAAGGGUUGUCGUUUAGAGAUGAGCUCGCGUCCUAUCAGCUUGUUGGUAGGGUAAUGGCCUACCAAGGCAUUUGACGGGUAGCUGGUCUGAGAGGAUGGUCAGCCACAUGGGGACUGAGACACUGCCCCGACUCCUACGGGAGGCUGCAGUCGAGGAUCUUUAGCAAUGGACGAAAGUCUGACUAUGCGACGCCGCGUGAGGGAUGAAGGUUUUCGGAUCGUAAACCUCUUUCGAUGGGGAAGAAAACCCGCUAUGAAUAAGAGCGGAUUGACGGUACCUAGAGAAGAAGCCACGGCCAACUCCGUGCCAGCAGCCGCGGUAAUACGGGGGUGGCGAGCGUUACUCGGAUUUAUUGGGUGUAAAGGGCAGGUAGGUUUUCUAUCAAGUUGGGAGUGAAAUCCUGUGGCUCAACCACAGAACUGCUUCCAAAACUGAUAGAAUUGAGGAUAGAAGAGGAGAGCGGAACUCCAGGUGUAAGGGUGAAAUCUGUAGAUAUCUGGAGGAACACCAGUGGCGAAAGCGGCUCUCUGGCCUAUCCCUGACGCUGAACUGCGAAAGCUAGGGUAGCAAACAGGAUUAGAUACCCUGGUAGUCCUAGCCGUAAACUAUGAGCACUAGGUGUUGGGAGUUUACUCUCAGCGCCGUAAGAUAACUCGUUAAGUGCUCCACCUGGGGACUACGGCCGCAAGGCUAAAACUCAAAGGAAUUGACGGGGGCCCGCACAAGCGGUGGAACAUGUGGUUCAAUUCGACGCUACGCGAAGAACCUCACCAAGGCUUGACAUGUAGGAAGUAGGAGUCCGAAAGGAUAACCAACUGUCAAAUCAGUAGCCUACACAGGUGUUGCAUGGCUGUCGUCAGCUCGUGUCGUGAGAUGUUGGGUUAAGUCCCGCAACGAGCGCAACCAUCAUCCUUAGUUGCUACUUUCAAAGCCGCAAGGCCUAGAGAGGCACUCUAAGGAGACUGCCCGCGAUAAGCGGGAGGAAGGCGGAGAUGACGUCAAGUCAGUACGGCCUUUAUGCCUUGGGCCACACACGUGUUACAAUGCUUACUACAAUGCGUUGCCAAACCGCGAGGUGGAGCUAAUCGCAAAAAAGUAGGCCCAGUUCGGAUUGGAGUCUGCAAUUCGACUCCAUGAAGCUGGAAUCGCUAGUAAUGGCGGAUCAGCUACGCCGCCGUGAAUACGUUCCCGGGCCUUGUACACACCGCCCGUCAAGCGAUGGGAGUUAGUAAUACCUGAAGUCCCUGAGUAAUCAGGGCCGAAGGUAGGACUGGCGACUGGCGCUAAGUCGUAACAGGGUA